GAACACACUACAACAAAAUAGAAUGCUUGGAAAUUCAGAGGAUAUUAUUUUUAGUAAGUUAGAAAAGUCAUGUAUUUCCCCACUUUAUUGUUCACAGUUACAUCCUGAAGUGCAACAGAAAACCACCAUGGCAAAAGUGACAAGGGACAAGGAAAACCAGCCCAUGGUGUUACUUUCCAGACUUCAAAGCAUGCAUUAGGAUUUAAGCUGCUCUGUAAAACAUGCACACCAGGCCUCUGCUGUGAUUCACCAAUGAAGGACUUCCAGAGGCUCCAGAAAGCAUCUUUACCUGCAACUGUCAUUGCAAGUGCCAUUGGAUCUCUCUGGUCAGAUUGCCAGCAGCAACAGAGACAGAGGCUCACUUAGCUCAUGCUGUCACCGAAGAAUGUGUAUUUACAGUGAGAGACAAAGGAAGUCAGAAGAGGUCAUUGGAUCUUCUGAACCUGAAGUUACAGGCUGUUAUGACCCAUGUCAUUCCUGGGAAUUGAACCCCUGGUCUUCUGCUAAAUGAAAGACCUGGCUCCCUCACUGCUUUCCAGUUUGACUCACCUGCCACAGCCAUCAUUUGCAAAAGAGCAGGGCUUGAAGAUCAGCAUGGGAGCUCUCAGCUGUUCCUACCGUGAGCCCAACUAAAUGUCUUCUUUCAUAAGUUGCCUUGGUCAUGGCCUUUCAUCACAUCAGUGGAAAAUAAUUCUCAUUCUAGGCUUUUGCUACAAAGAAAUAAUGUUGUAUGCACAAAGAUAAGUGUACCAAGGACAUUCAACACAGCCCGGCUCAUCCUACCAAAAAAUUGGAACCAAAUUAAGUGUUCAGCAACAGAGACUUGGUGGCAUAAAUUAGCACCUGUCAAAAGUGAUGAUGCCUAGCCAUCGUUUUAAAGAACAGAUUGCUAAAGGAGAAGCAGUUUCAAGACAAAAGUCAGGUCAACUCCUAAGUUGUGCAAGUCAGCUGUGAUGGUUGAUUGUCACCUGCAGAUUGAUGGGAUUUAGAAUCACCAAGGAGAAUAGUGAGAAGUGCCUUUGGUUAUAUCUAUGAACGUAUUUUCAGAGAAGACUAAUGGAGUGAGGAAGACUUUCUCUCAGUGUGGUUGGAACAAUCCCAUGGCUGAGUAUCAGGACAGAAUAAAAGGAAGGACACUGGAAACCUGGGAGGGAGUGCAGCCAUCAAAAUGGAAAAGGCACAGAGCAGGCAAGAAAAGUGUAUAAUAGUGUCACCUGCAGAACACAUUUGUCACAGACAGGCUAUCUCGAUGAUGGGGAAAUAACAAGAUAGGACUAAUGUCGCAGAAGUUGUCCAACUCAGGAAAGAUUUCUCCUCAUCUGUUUCCUGAUGCUGAAGAUGGAAGCCGAUGUCCACCUUUUAGGGGGCUUAUUUGUUGUAUACAGAUAUCAUUCUGCUGUGGGCUGCCUGACUG